CACCAUGAAAUUUACGUUGAACUGGAUUUUCCUUCUGACUAUUUUCCAAGGUGUCCAGUGUGAUGUGGAGCUGGUGGAGUCUGGGGGAGAUGUGAUACAGCCUGGGGGAUCUCUGAGUCUCUCCUGCAAAGGUUCUGGAUUUACUUUCAGCAGUUACAGGAUGAGCUGGGUCCGCCAGGCUUCAGGAAAGGGACUGGAAUGGGUUGCAAGCAUUAGUGGUAGUAGUGGUAGUACAUACUAUGCAGACUCUGUGAAAGGCCGAUUCACCAUCUCCAGAGAUAAUGGCAACAGCAUCUUAUACCUACAAAUGAUUUCCCUUG